rnacentral:rRNA from 1 species
CUGAAUAACUUUGCUGAUCACACGGUCCUAGCACCGGUGACAUAUCUUUCAAGUGUCUGCCCUAUCAACUUUCGAUGGUAGUUUAUGUGCCUACCAUGGUGGUAACGGGUAACGGAGAAUAAGGGUUCGACUCCGGAGAGGGAGCCUGAGAAAUGGCUACCACAUCCAAGGAAGGCAGCAGGCGCGCAAAUUACCCACUCUCAGCACGAGGAGGUAGUGACGAAAAAUAACGAGAUGGUUCUCUAUGAGGCCCAUCAUCGGAAUGGGUACAAUUUAAACCCUUUAACGAGGAUCUAUUGGAGGGCAAGUCUGGUGCCAACAGCCGCGGUAAUUCCAGCUCCAAUAGCAUAUACCAAUUCUGUUGCUGUUAAAAA